AAUCAACGCUGGCGGCGUGCCUAACACAUGCAAGUCGAACGAGAAAGUCUCCGCAAGGGGAUGAGUAAAGUGGCGAAUGGGUGAGUAACACGUAGCUAACCUGCCCUGGAGUGGGGGAUAACCUGGGGAAACCUGGGCUAAUACCGCAUGACAUCCCGACGGCAAAAGGCGACGGGGUCAAAGGCCCGCAAGGGUCACUCAAGGAGGGGGCUGCGGCCGAUUAGCUAGUUGGUGAGGUAAUGGCUCACCAAGGCUAUGAUCGGUAGCCGGCCUGAGAGGGCGCACGGCCACACUGGCACUGAAACACGGGCCAGACUCCUACGGGUGGCUG
rnacentral:rRNA from 1 species